UGGAUUACCAGCAGAUAUUAAUGUGAAAAUAAUUAAAUGUAAUUCAGAUGUUUCUACAGAAAGUGAAGAUGUAAAGAUACAUUAGGAACAAAGAAAAUGUAUCUGAUACAGUAAAUCCAGGUAUGGGCAAUGAUUUCUGACCAAUUAAACUCAACAGAAAAGAUUAAAGUGACAGUGCAAUGGAGGGGGUUGAAAAAAACAUUUAAGAAAAUUUAUGACCAUAAUAAUAAAACAGAAAAUGACAGAAAGUAUUGUGAAUACUUUAGUAUUAUGAAGGACAUAACAGGAAGAAGACCAUAUAUAACUCUACAUUUGACAGCAGUCAAGGACUCAUAUCACAUAAAAUAUUGAUGUCAUCAUCAUCAUCAUCAUCCAACACCAUCAAAUGAUUCAUUGCAUUCAGUGCAGUCAAAUUUAUCAUUCCCUGUAACGACUGCAAAGCCAACAUCAAAUAAAAAAAAAACAAGAAAAGAAGAAAAUGGGAAGAAAGUUUGCCAGAACUUUU